AUACGGAGGAUCCGAGCGUUAUCCGGAUUUAUUGGGUUUAAAGGGAGCGUAGGCGGACGCUUAAGUCAGUUGUGAAAGUUUGCGGCUCAACCGUAAAAUUGCAGUUGAUACUGGGUGUCUUGAGUACAGUAGAGGCAGGCGGAAUUCGUGGUGUAGCGGGGAAAUGCUUAGAUAUCACGAAGAACUCCGAUUGCGAAGGCAGCCUGCUGGACUGUAACUGACGCUGAUGCUCGAAAGUGUGGGUAUCAAACAGGAUUAGAUACCCUGGUAGUCCACACAGUAAACGAUGAAUACUCGCUGUUUGCGAUAUACAGUAAGCGGCCAAGCGAAAGCGUUAAGUAUUCCACCUGGGGAGUACGCCGGCAACGGUGAAACUCAAAGGAAUUGACGGGG
rnacentral:rRNA from 1 species